CCACCACCAUCCCACUCACAGCAGCUAUUGCACGCUCGGACCUCCUCCUUCAAGAUACCCAGGACCGCCGACUGUUUGGAGGCUGGAACGAUUCCACGCCCGCACGCACGCACGCCAGGUCUGGCACCAAUCUUCCUUCAGAGAGAGACAGGUUGAACCCAGUCAAGUUCAAGGCCACUCCCUUCUGGUCCCUGAGAAAGCCCCUUCAGGUGUGCCCCCCCACUCUACCCCACCCUGUGCCAGCUGCUCAUCCCUUUUCAGCUCUGCUGCACGUGCCAGCUAGAAGUUGCAUCUGACCUGAGCUUCAUUCAGUCCUCUUUGGCCAGAAGGGAGAACACUGCUGAUUGUUGAGGGGCAGUCAGCUAAGCUUCUGGACUCUACGAUUGGGUGUGUAUGUAUAGGGUAUCCAUAUGCAACGUCUAGAAGCCUGUUUUUCUCCUCUGUGUAAGGGGACAAUGACAAGGACUCCCUCCAAGGAAUGCUGUGAUAAAGAAAUGAAGUAACAUGUGGCAAGCCUUGACACCAUCCCCAGGCACAAAACCCUCCAAAUGUCACUCAUUCUUUCAACUAAUAUUGGAUGCCUACCACGUGCCAAGGAACUGAAGCUACAUCAAUGCCCCGAAGAAGCAAAUUCCUUUUCCCUUGGAGUUAGCAUUCCAGUAGGAGCUUCCCUGAUAGCUCAGUUGGUAAAGAAUCCACCUGCAAUUCGGGAGACCUGGGUUCAAUUCCUGGGUCGGGAAGAUCCCCUCGAGAAGGGAAAGGCUACCCACUCCAGUAUUCUGGCCUGGAGAAUUCCAUGGACAGUCCAUGGGGUCUCAAAGAGUUGGACACAACUGAGCGACUUUCACUUUCACUUUCAGGAUGUGGGAACAGCCAACAAUGAACAUAAUCAAAAGAUAAGCUGAAUAGCAUAGUGGCUCUAAACGCCAAGCGAUUCAUCUCCCCCACUGAUAUGGACCAAAGUCAGGAGACAUUUGUGGGUGUCACAGUUGGUGGGGGUGC